AUUGAACGCUGGCGGCAGGCCUAACACAUGCAAGUCGAACGGAGCGGCGGACGGGUGCGUAAUGCUUAGGAAUCUGCCUGGUAGUGGGGGAUAACGUCCGGAAACGGGCGCUAAUACCGCAUACUAUCAGAUGAGCCUAGGUCGGAUUAGCUAGUGGGUGGGGUAAAGGCCUACCAAGGCGACGACCCGUAGCUGGUCUGAGAGGAUGAUCAGUCACACUGGAACUGAGACACGGUCCAGACUCCUACGGGAGGCAGCAGUGGGGAAUAUUGGACAAUGGGCGAAAGCCUGAUCCAGCCAUGCCGCGUGUGUGAAGAAGGUCUUCGGAUUGUAAAGCACUUUAAGUUGGGAGGCGUUACCAGCAGAAUAAGCACCGGCUAACUUCGUGCCAGCCGCCGCGGUAAUUC
rnacentral:rRNA from 1 species